GUGGGGAAUCUUGCGCAAUGGGCGAAAGCCUGACGCAGCCAUGCCGCGUGAAUGAUGAAGGUCUUAGGAUUGUAAAAUUCUUUCACCGGGGACGAUAAUGACGGUAGUCGGAGAAGAAGCCCCGGCUAACUUCGUGCCAGCAGCCGCGGUAAUACGAAGGGGGCUAGCGUUGCUCGGAAUUACUGGGCGUAAAGGGAGCGUAGGCGGAUAGUUUAGUCAGAGGUGAAAGCCCAGGGCUCAACCUUGGAAUUGCCUUUGAUACUGGCUAUCUUGAGUAUGGAAGAGGUAUGUGGAACUCCGAGUGUAGAGGUGAAAUUCGUAGAUAUUCGGAAGAACACCAGUGGCGAAGGCGACAUACUGGUCCAUUACUGACGCUGAGGCUCGAAAGCGUGGGGAGCAAACAGGAUUAGAUACCCUGGUAGUCC
rnacentral:rRNA from 1 species